AUUCAGCUGACGAGUUCCAAAUAGGACAAAACACGCAUUCUGGAU
rnacentral:hammerhead_ribozyme from 1 species